UUCGGAUCGCAGGCUGCAACCCGCCUGCGUGAAGUUGGAAUUGCUAGUAAUCGCGGAUCAGCAUGCCGCGGUGAAUACGUUCCCGGGUCUUGUACACACCGCCCGUCACACCAUGGGAGUCGAUAACGCCCGAAGUCAGUGACCCAACCUGUAAGGAGGGAGCUGCCGAAGGCGGGAUUGAUAACUGGGGUGAAGUCGUAACAAGGUAAC
rnacentral:rRNA from 1 species